AACGAGCGAGGAAACAGGGCCAGAGAAUUGGAACAAAAUACAAGGCUGCCUCUGAAAGGAAUAUCUUUGUGCUGAUGUGUCCAUCAAGAGAACAUACACAGAAGUGACACUUGCCAGUAAUUUGCAAGCAGAUGGAACUUCAAUAUGGCAAUAGAGAAAGAAUCAAUUAGACCAGAGUCUCCUCAGGAAGACUUUCUAUAGGUGGACGGUCCCCUGGAGAGCCCGCUGUGUUGGAAGAUGUAGAAUAUUCAUAUAUCUGGUGAGCAUCUGCUAGAUGCCAGGGUUGGGGAGAGUCAAGUUGAAGCAAGCAUGAACCCUCAAGGACCUACCAUUUCAAGGCAAGAAAUAGAUACAAAUACAGCGUAAUUAUCUCUCCAAUUAAAGAGCAACCAAGGGACAACUGAACUGGAGGUUCUGCAGAAUUACAACUAAGCACGCAGCCGAGGAAUCUACUCAGCUUUGAUCUCUUAUCGCUCUGCACACACAGCCCUUUCUCUGUAAGGCUAGCUGCUCUCAGCAUCACUGUGUCUAAUCAAACGUGUCACACCUCCACUGAGAAAAUAUUUACUGGAUAGCUACUAGACAUAAGGAUGCAGAAAUGAAUUAGAAAAAUUCCUCGCCCUUGUUCAAAGCUAUGCUGGCUCUUAGAACAUCUGAGCCCCCACUGUUUCAUCUUUAGAGGAUCCCAGCUGCUGGGGUGUGAGGCCAGUGCUGGAGCCAGCAGUCUCUGACCCAGAAGGGACCUGAGGUGCUAAAGAAAAGCAUACAUUCUGGGCUGAAGAUAACCAGAAAGCCAGCAACCUGAUGGGAGGAACAUUCAUUGCACAAGCUGAGAGUGAAAUGAGCUUCUACAUCAGGGUGCUUGAUGGCUCGUGGCUGUGAGUCUGGCUCCAUUAAUGCGAUGACAGUAGUAAUUUAGGGGUACAAGCUGGAAAAGGGGAAAAUGAAUCAUGCUACAGGCCAAGUGUCCAUCACUGAUUCCCAGAGAUGCCCUUUGUGUGGUAGGCACUUCCAUGUGGACUCGCUACAGAGGUACAUGCAUAGGUCCAAGAUAGGCGUCCCUCAGCUCAUGGCCUAUAUUCCAGCUUGUAGACUUUUGCUAAGGAUGACCCCUCACCAGUAACCAGCUCUGGUCCCAAGCUCCUGGCUGCAGUCUUUAGUGUCCACAAACCCACAGAGGCUCAUCAUCCUCAACUGUGGGAGUGCACCUUUUCCUGCUGGUUCCUCCUCGUUGCCCUGGUAUUUCUCCAAAUGUUGUUCUCCCUCUGCUCAAAUAGGCAUGGAGCAGGGGCAGAUCAGAAAGUAUGAUGUCCAGCCAUCCUCCAACCAAAGAACAAAGUGCUAGACUAUCAUCAUUGCACGUACCCCCAGUCUCUACUGGGGAUGCCUAAGAGUCUUCCUUUCAUGUUGUGAAAUGAGGAGUGACUCUUCUGCUCCCAUUGUGGGGAGGAAGGGAAUAAAUAGACCCCCACACA
ensembl:lncRNA LINC01643 long intergenic non-protein coding RNA 1643